rfam:Medicago truncatula strain A17 chromosome 4, whole genome shotgun sequence.
UUGGGUGAAAUCAAUGUAGAACCUACGCUUUGAAAAUGAAACUUACAUAAAGUGGUGGGACAUACAUUGAUUUCACCCAA